rnacentral:tRNA from 1 species
GCCUCAGUAGUGUAGUAGUUAACACACGCGAGCCCCAGAAAAGUGCGAGUCGCGGGUUCGAAUCCCACCUGAGCCU